rnacentral:rRNA from 1 species
UACGGAGGGUCCAAGCGUUAUCCGGAAUCAUUGGGUUUAAAGGGUCCGUAGGCGGUUUUGUAAGUCAGUGGUGAAAGCCCAUCGCUCAACGGUGGAACGGCCAUUGAUACUGCAAGACUUGAAUUAUUAGGAAGUAACUAGAAUAUGUAGUGUAGCGGUGAAAUGCUUAGAGAUUACAUGGAAUACCAAUUGCGAAGGCAGGUUACUACUAAAUGGAUUGACGCUGAUGGACGAAAGCGUGGGGGAGCGAACAGG